AUGGUGGAGGAACCAUCCGCCAAACGUCAUCAAGGCGAGCCGUCGGACAAGAGCAGCAACCUCAUCGAUGUUCACGUCCCCGGCGAGAAGCGCGAGUACACUAGAACCCUCACAGCGGUUGAGCUCCACGGCAAAGAGACGCUGGAGAUCGUCUGCACCAGCGAACCAGACAAGGCCGGCGAGGUGAUGGGCAGGCUCGGGAUGAAGGGCGGCGGCUUGUAUCCGAGCUUCAUCGGAGUUGAUGUGGAGUUCACUAGCGACGAUGAACCUCCACAGAUGGCGGCAGUCCUGCAGUUGUGCGUCGAGGAACUCUGCUUGGUGUACCACAUCGCAGCAGCCACAAAAUGGCCCAAGCGCCUCAAAGACUUCCUGCAGGAGGAGAAAUUGUACACAUUUGUCGGUUUCAGCAUUGGAGGUGACAAGCGGAUGCUGAACAAGUCUGGUUUGGAGAUCAACCCCAAAAACUUCAUUGACUUGCAGCGCAAGUGGAAAGAUCCAAAGACCAGCAAAUACUACGACUCCUUGGCCGAUGUUGCAGGCGGCGUAAUCCACCCAUUCUACAACGGCAUGAAGAAGAAGAUGGACAAGGGAGAACACAAACUGUGGGGGACCAGCCCGCUGCCAGACAACCUCAUCACGUACGCAGGAAUAGAUGCGUACGCCACGUACAAGUCAUGGAAGACAAUCGACAACAUCGUGACAGGUUGGGAUAUUUCAAAAGAGCAGGAGGCUGACCCCUACUACCACUGCAACUUCGCGGGAUGA
rnacentral:rRNA from 1 species